UGGGGAAUAUUGGACAAUGGGCGAAAGCCUGAUCCAGCCAUGCCGCGUGUGUGAAGAAGGUCUUCGGAUUGUAAAGCACUUUAAGUUGGGAGGAAGGGCAUUAACCUAAUACGUUAGUGUUUUGACGUUACCGACAGAAUAAGCACCGGCUAACUCUGUGCCAGCAGCCGCGGUAAUACAGAGGGUGCAAGCGUUAAUCGGAAUUACUGGGCGUAAAGCGCGCGUAGGUGGUUUGUUAAGUUGGAUGUGAAAUCCCCGGGCUCAACCUGGGAACUGCAUUAAAAACUGACUGACUAGAGUAUGGUAGAGGGUGGUGGAAUUUCCUGUGUAGCGGUGAAAUGCGUAGAUAUAGGAAGGAACACCAGUGGCGAAGGCGACCACCUGGACUAAUACUGACACUGAGGUGCGAAAGCGUGGGGAGCAAACA
rnacentral:rRNA from 1 species